rnacentral:rRNA from 1 species
AGAGUUUGAUCAUGGCUCAGAUUGAACGUUGGCGGCAGGCCUAAUACAUGCAAGUCGAGCGGUAACAGAUCGCUGUGAUCCCUUCGGGGUGAACUUGAUGCUGACGAGCGGCGGACGGGUGAGUAACGCGUAGGAAUCUACCCAGUAGCGGGGGAUAGCCCGAGGAAACUCGGAUUAAUACCGCAUACGCCCUACGGGGGAAAGGCGGGGAUCUCUUCGGAGACCUGUCACUAUUGGAGGAGCCUGCGUUGGAUUAGCUAGUUGGUGGGGUAAAGGCUUACCAAGGCGACGAUCCAUAGCUGGUCUGAGAGGACGAUCAGCCACACUGGAACUGAGACACGGUCCAGACUCCUACGGGAGGCAGCAGUAGGGAAUAUUGCACAAUGGGCGAAAGCCUGAUGCAGCCAUGCCGCGUGUGUGAAGAAGGCCUUAGGGUUGUAAAGCACUUUCAGCAAGGAGGAACUAGCACGGUUAAUACCUGUGUGAAAUGACGUUACUUGCAGAAGAAGCACCGGCUAACUCCGUGCCAGCAGCCGCGGUAAUACGGAGGGUGCGAACGUUAAUCGGAAUUACUGGGCGUAAAGCGCGCGUAGGCGGUUUAUUAAGUGGGAUGUGAAAGCCCCGGGCUUAACCUGGGAACUGCAUUCCAAACUGACGAACUAGAGUACGAGAGAGGGGGGUAGAAUUCAGAGUGUAGCGGUGAAAUGCGUAGAUAUUCUGAGGAAUACCGGUGGCGAAGGCGGCCCCCUGGCUUGAUACUGACGCUCAGGUGCGAAAGCGUGGGGAGCAAACAGGAUUAGAUACCCUGGUAGUCCACGCCGUAAACGAUGUCUACUAGGCCGUUGGGGGGGCUUGACCCUUUUAGUGGCGAAGCUAACGCGAUAAGUAGACCCGUCUGGGGGAGUACGGUUCGCAAGAUUAAAAACUCAAAAUGAAAUUGACGGGGGGGUCCCGCACAAAGCGGGUGGAGCAUGGUGAUUAAUUCCGAUGCCAACGCGGAAAAACCUUAACCAGGACCUUUGAACCAUC